rnacentral:rRNA from 1 species
AUUGAACGCUGGCGGCAGGCCUAACACAUGCCAGUCGAGCGAGCGGCGGACGGGUGAGUAAUGUAUGGGGACUGCCCGAUAUAGGAGGAUAACUACUGGAAACGGUGGCUAAUACCGCAUACUAUCGGAUAACCCAUAUGGGAUUAGCGAGUAGGUGGGGUAAAGGCUCACCUAGGCGACGAUCUCUAGCUGGUCUGAUAGGAUGAUCAGCCACACUGGGACUGAGACACGGCCCAGAUUCCUACGGAGGCAGCAGUGGGGAAUAUUGCACGAUGGGCGGAAGCCUGAUGCAGCAAUGCCGCUUGUAUGAAGAAGGCCUUAGGGUUGUAAAGUACUUUCAGCGAGGAGGCGUUACCCGCAGAAGAAGCACCGGCUAACUCCGUGCCAGCAGCCGCGGUGAUAC